UUGUAUUGAUUUUUAUUUUUAUUUACAGAACCUGGAUUUUUUUUUUCUUAAACCAAGGAUUCUUCGGAAGCCAAGUUGCCAUAAAUUUAAAUUGAUCUAUCUAAUUUUGUUUCAAAAUAUUCAAAUUUUAAUUCAUUUCAUUUUAUAUUUUUUUUCAGAACUUGGAUUUUAUUUUUUUGAUUCAAACUUAAGAAAGUGUCUUUCAAGAUCUAGAACUUGGAUUUUUAAUUUCCUAUCAACAAUCCAUCUAAGGAAUUUACAGACCCUUGUGGUAGAUUCUUCAGGUUGGGUGUGGUCAGGUCAGGUUGAUCUGUGUGCAAACACUUCAUCAUCGUAAAAAACUAUUUUUCAGGAAUUCAUCAAUUAUAUCGAGAAGAGUAAUGGAAACAAGAUUGGAGUUAUCUAUAUUUAAAACAUGGAUUUUCUUUUUUGUAUCAACAACACAUGUAACCUAAACAAGGAUUUUUCGGGAGCCAGGUAAUCACUUUUAAUUUUUUUUUUUUUGUUAAAUUUUAU